GCCCGCGUAGCUCAGUCGGUAGAGCGUUAGGCUUUUAACCUAAUGGUCCAGGUUUCGAGUCCCUGUUCGGGCG
rnacentral:tRNA from 1 species